CUUGCCACUCUUCUCCGUCCAGUCCACCCUGGCUGUCAUCACAUCUUAAAAUCGCUCGAGAAAAUGGACCGUGUAAGGUGACUGAAUCUGCCACUUUGUGGUUACUGAAUAUAAGAUAAUUAAUUGCAAAAUAUCUUUUUUGAUCGCCACCCUGCCGUUUUGAUAGAGCGAUGAGCAGUCAAACAGGAGACACACCGGGACACGCGGCGACUCGGACGCACUAACAGUGUCACACAAUAAACACAGCAGGGAAAUGACCUGCCGAUCAAUAAACUCCCAUCGGCUGGCUGCCCGAGGAAAACGUUUACCUUUUAGGCUCCAAGUUUACAAGCCUCUUUUAUUAUUUGUUAUUACGAUUAUUUUUUUAUAUUAUUAUUAUGGUUAUUAAGUAUUAUUUUUGUCAAGUAAAGACAUCAACCUGCUGGACACCGUGCUAAGGGCUGAAGUGGACCACACCUGCAUAUUCUGCUUCGCGCAAAACCCCCCAGCAUCUUCAAAGCAGUAACUGAACAUCAGCGAGGGGGACCUGAGAAGGAAACGUUAUCUGGGAAGCCAGCGACUGCAGAGGGGCUGGCAGAUCCAGCAAUAUCACGUUACCAGAAACAGAAUGAAUCCAUCAUGAAAUGAGCACGGAUAGGAGGACUGAGACUCUGCACAAGGGAGCACCGAGCAG